rnacentral:snRNA from 1 species
AUACUUACUCUGGCAGGGUGAUACCAGAUCACACAGGUGGUUCUGCCAUCCGGCGAGGCUUGUCCUUGCACAUCGGACUUGCUGGCAACUCGGUCAUUCGACAACGUUCGAAUCUCACUGCACAAAUUUCUGGUAGCUGGGGGCGGACUGCGUUCGCGCUCUCCGCUG